rnacentral:rRNA from 1 species
CAGUUAACGCGAUGGGUCAGGUAACUCGUGGAUCGAUGGGAAAUGCAGCUAGCUGUGAUAAAAUAGUGCGAAUUGCAGAAAAAUUGAGCAGUAAGAUUCUGAACGCGCAUUGCACCAUCGAGUUCAUUCCUGUUGGCAAGUCUGGCUAAAUGGUU